rnacentral:snoRNA from 1 species
UCAUAUGACGAGAGAAUUUGAUUAGCUCUAGAUCAGGAGCCUAAAUUGGCGAUGACCGAUUAUCAUGUAUUAUCCGAUGA